ACCAGUGACGCAGGGUGCUCGACGACGUCGAGCUGAGAAAGACCUGUUGAACCUGAUCUAGUUAGUACUAGCGGAGGGACGUCAACCAUGACCGAC
rnacentral:ncRNA from 2 species